CCUACGGGAGGCAGCAGUGAGGAAUAUUGGUCAAUGGGCGUAAGCCUGAACCAGCCAAGUCGCGUGAGGGAUGAAGGUUCUAUGGAUCGUAAACCUCUUUUAUAAGGGAAUAAAGAGUGGGACGUGUCCUGUUUUGAGUGUACCUUAUGAAUAAGGAUCGGCUAACUCCGUGCCAGCAGCCGCGGUAAUACGGAGGAUCCGAGCGUUAUCCGGAUUUAUUGGGUUUAAAGGGUGCGUAGGCGGCCUUUAAGUCAGCGGUGAAAGUCUGUGGCUCAACCAUAGAAUUGCCGUUGAAACUGGGAGGCUUGAGUAUGUUUGAGGCAGGCGGAAUGCGUGGUGUAGCGGUGAAAUGCUUAGAUAUCACGCAGAACCCCGAGUGCGAAGGCAGCCUACCAAGCCAUGACUGACGCUGAUGCACGAAAGCGUGGGGAUCAAACAGGAUUAGAUACCCCUGUAGUC
rnacentral:rRNA from 1 species